CCCUAUUUCAAGUAAUUGGCGGGAAAACGUACCUCAGAAAAGAUGAUGAGAUCCGCGGAACAUGGGAGCGAACCAAAUUAGGAUUUUAUUUCCUUGGAGAGAAAUUGGUGAACUGGAAGGAAAAUUGGAUGACAUGCUGCAGUCUGGGCCUCAAACCUUUAGCUGUGACGAACUAUCUUUGGGACCAUUUCGACAAAGCAAAUAACUCCGUGCAGAAUGUGGUUUACUGGUCGGCAAUGACUCGAGCAGGUUGCCCUCUUCACUUUGAAAACUUCCUCCACAACGCAUCAGAAUUGAACCAAAAUAAAAUUUAUGGAAUCCGAAAAGGGGGGAAUUGCGUGGCCGUUUCGUUCCGAGAAAAAGGAACCAGUGAGGAGAGCGCUGCUCUAGUGGUGAAAACCACCGUCUGCGCAUCCAAACUGCUGUUGGG